GGCGGCACUAGCGCGGUGGUCCCACCUGACCCCAUGCCGAACUCAGAAGUGAAACGCCGUAGCGCCGAUGGUAGUGUGGGGUUUCCCCAUGCGAGAGUAGGGAACUGCCAGGC
rnacentral:rRNA from 1 species